rnacentral:rRNA from 1 species
GAUGAACGCUGGCGGCGUGCUUAACACAUGCAAGUCGAACGGAAAGGCCCUGCUUUUGUGGGGUGCUCGAGUGGCGAACGGGUGAGUAACACGUGAGUAACCUGCCCUUGACUUUGGGAUAACUUCAGGAAACUGGGGCUAAUACCGGAUAGGAGCUCCUGCUGCAUGGUGGGGGUUGGAAAGUUUCGGCGGUUGGGGAUGGACUCGCGGCUUAUCAGCUUGUUGGUGGGGUAGUGGCUUACCAAGGCUUUGACGGGUCGCCGGCCUGAGAGGGUGACCGGCCACAUUGGGCCUGAGAUAGGGCCCAGACUCCUACGGGGGGCAGCGGUGGGGAAUAUUGCACAAUGGGCCGAAGCCGGAUGAAGCAACGCCGGGUGCGGAAUGACGGCCUUCGGGUUGAAAACCGCUUUCGCCUGUGACGAAGCUUGAGUGACGGUAAUGGGUGAAGAAGCACCGGCUAACUACGUG